rnacentral:rRNA from 1 species
UGGGGAAUAUUGGACAAUGGGCGAAAGCCUGAUCCAGCCAUGCCGCGUGUGUGAAGAAGGUCUUCGUAUUGUAAAGCACUUUAAGUUGGGAGGAAGGGCAGUAAGCGAAUACCUUGCUGUUUUGACGUUACCGACAGAAUAAGCACCGGCUAACUCUGUGCCAGCAGCCGCGGUAAUACAGAGGGUGCAAGCGUUAAUCGGAAUUACUGGGCGUAAAGCGCGCGUAGGUGGUUCGUUAAGUUGAAUGUGAAAGCCCCGGGCUCAACCUGGGAACUGCUUCCAAAACUGGCGAGCUAGAGUAGGGCAGAGGGUGGUGGAAUUUCCUGUGUAGCGGUGAAAUGCGUAGAUAUAGGAAGGAACACCAGUGGCGAAGGCGACCACCUGGGCUCAUACUGACACUGAGGUGCGAAAGCGUGGGGAGCAAACAGG